GACGAACGCUGGCGGCGUGCUUAACACAUGCAAGUCGAACGAAGUGGCGAACGGGUGAGUAACGCGUAAUCAACCUGCCCUUCAGAGGGGGACAACAGUUGGAAACGACUGCUAAUACCGCAUACUGAAGGAGGGGAUUGCGUCUGAUUCGCUAGUUGGAGGGGUAGCGGCCAACCAAGGCGAUGAUCAGUAGCCGUGCUGAUAUAGUGAACGGCCACAUUGGGACUGAGAAACGGCCCAGACUCCUACGGGAGGCAGCAGGGGGGAAUCUUCCGACAUGGACGAAAGGCUGACGGAGCAACGCCGCGUGAGUGAUGACGGCCGUCGGGUUGUAAAGCUCUGUUAAUCGGGACGCGGUACCGGAAUAGAAAGCCACGGCUAACUACGUGCCAGCAGCCGCGGUAAUAC
rnacentral:rRNA from 1 species